rnacentral:rRNA from 1 species
UACGUAGGGCGCAAGCGUUGUCCGGAAUUAUUGGGCGUAAAGAGCUCGUAGGCGGUUCGUCACGUCGGCUGUGAAAUCCCGAGGCUCAACCUCGGGUCUGCAGUCGAUACGGGCGGACUUGAGUACUGCAGGGGAGACUGGAAUUCCUGGUGUAGCGGUGAAAUGCGCAGAUAUCAGGAGGAACACCGGUGGCGAAGGCGGGUCUCUGGGCAGUAACUGACGCUGAGGAGCGAAAGCGUGGGGAGCGAACAGG